rnacentral:rRNA from 1 species
GACGAACGCUGGCGGCGUGCUUAAUACAUGCAAGUCGAACGGAAAGGCCCUGCGCUUGUGGGGUGCUCGAGUGGCGAACGGGUGAGUAACACGUGAGUAUCCUGCCCUUGACUUUGGGAUAACUUCAGGAAACUGGGGCUAAUACCGGAUAGGAUCUCUUGCUGCAUGGUGUUGGUUGGAAAGUUUCGGCGGUUGGGGAUGGACUCGCGGCUUAUGAGCUUGUUUGUGGGGUAGUGGCUUACCAAGGCUUUGACGGGUAGCCUGCCUGAGAGGGUGACCGGCCACAUUGGGACUGAGAGACGGCCCAGAAUCCUACGGGCGGCAGCAGGGGGGAGUAUUGCAGAAUGGGCGGAAGCGAGAUGCGACAACGCCGCGUGCGGGAUGACGGGCUUCGGGUUGUGAACAGAUUUCGCCGGUGACGUAGCGUGAGUGACGGUAAUGGGUAAAGAAGCACCGGCUAACUACGUG